rnacentral:misc_RNA from 1 species
UAUUGAGUGUACAUUAAAAUGUGCGUAUUUGAAAAUAAUUAUUAAUCUGUCAAAAGUGUGUACUACAAAGUCAUUAUUAUUCAUAUCUAUUGAGUGUGUAAUUAUUAUUAAUUGUCAACUUUAUUGUUGUUUUUAUAUCAGUCUAUAAAAUAGAAAAAGUUGUAAAAAGUUUUUAGAUUACUUUGUGAAAUUAUAGUUCAACUGUUUAUUUAUAAGAUGUCUAAGAGAAAAACAAAAUAUAAUAAAUUGUGGGAGUCUGAGUUUAACUGGAUCCAAGUUUGUUCUGGUGAUCACUAUUCUGCAAGUUGCAAAUUGUGCCAGAAAACCUUUUCAAUCAGUGGAAGUGGAGCUGGACAAGUAAGAAGCCAUGCAAUUAGCAAACUUCACACAUCAAGGUUUAAAGAAAGAGAAGGACAAUCAGAAUUUAGUAAAAAUAAAGAUAAAAUACUUGAAUUAAAAACUUCUAAGAUUAGUUACACCAUCGAGGAAGAGAUUUUAAAAGCUGAAAUCAUUCAUAGUUUAAAAUGUGUUGAGUCUAACUAUUCUUUUGCCUCAACCAAUGGAGAUAGUAAAAUGUUUGAAGCAUUGUUUCCAGAUUCAAAAAUUGCUAAAGGAUACAGACAAAGUGAAACUAAAUCUAAAUACACCAUUCAGUACAGCAUCUUUCCAUAUUUAAAAACAUUGUUAUUGGAGGAUUUAAAUGAUACUGUUUUUACAUUUAAAUUUGACGAAUCUACUAAUCAAUAAGUUAAUAAACAGUAUGAUGGUUAUGUACAAUAUUGGUCUAGAAAGCACAAGUGCAUUAAAAUUGCAUACUGUGGAACUAUCAUGGUAGACCAUUGUACUGCUGAAAAAUUGUUAGAACAUUUCCUCGAGCUUGUAGAAAAAGUUAAGCUUAACAUAAAGUUUAUGCUCCAUAUUGGUAUGGAUGGUCCUAAUGUAAAUAUUAAGUUUGAGAGACUUUUAAAGUCAUCAGAGAAAAUGAAAAAUUUGAAUAAAAACAUUAUAUCAAUUGGCACAUGCCCUCUUCAUAUAGUUCAUAAUGCAUUUAGAGCUGGAGUUAAUGUUUUAAAUUUCAACAUUGACUCAUUUGCAAUUGAUGUUAACUUUUUCUUUAAACAUUCUGCUGCAAGAAGAUCUGACUAUCGACAAAUAGAAGAUCUAACAGAAAUUAUUUCACACUUUAUUCAAAGACAUUCUUCAACAAGAUGGGUGACACUCAGAAGAAUAUGUUCUCAGAUUUUAGAACAACACAAGAAUCUUUGUGAAUAUUUUAUAAAAUUUCUUCCAACAACUACAUCUUUUAAAUUAACUGUUAGAGAUACUGAAAGAUAUAAGAGGAUUACAGAUAUUUUGCAAAAUGAAAUAUCGAUGCCGUAUAUUUCUUUUAUUGCUUUCAUAGCAAAUGACUUUGAAAUAUUUUUAAAAACAUUUCAAUCAAUUAAACCAAGAAUUCACCUGAUUUACUCUGAAAUGUCAAAACUUUUUGUUGCAUUAAUGUCCAAGUUUAUCAAAACUAAGCUUCUGUAUGUUAAUAAUAAUGGCAGCAAUUUCAUAAAAUCUAUUAAUGAGCUGCUGAUGAUUGAUGUGAUUGACUCAAAAAAUUGUAAACCACUAAAGUUAAUUGAUAUUGGCACAAAAGCCAAAUCUUAUUUUUCAGAAGCUCUAGAAAUCUCAUGUGGCGAAAAGAAAUUUCGGCAAAAUUGUCUUGAGUCUUAACAAGCAUUUACUAGUUAUUUAAAAUUAAAAUUACCUUGGGAAUCAACUAUUUUAAAUAAUGCAAUCUUUCUUGAUCCUUUAAAAAAGGGUAGUAACGAGUCUCUAGCAGCUGUCUCAAAUCUCACUCUAGAAGUAUGCAAAUCACUGGAAGUAGUCUUAUGUAAAGUUUUUCCAUCUUGUUCAUCAAAGGAAGAGGUUUGUGAUAUUGUACGAAGCGAAUGGCGAAUUUACCAAAUGGAAUUUCUUCCAGAGUGCUAUUAUAAAUGUUCGAAAGAAUUAGUUUCAAUUGGGAGAAAUCAAACUUCUUACUGGGAAAAGGCCUUUCAGCUUGCGGGUCUUCCUAUAGUUUCAAAACUUUUAUGUAGUUUUGAUAUUGAUACACUAAUCAAUUCCUUUGAGACUAAAAUUUUGAAUGAUAGUGGUUCACCUAAGUUUCCCAAUAUUACAUCUCUUUUCAAAGUUGUUUCUUCACUUUCGCAUGGAAAUAGUGCCCCAGAGAAUGGAUUUUCAAUUAACAAACACAUUAUUCAGUUACAUGGUACUUCACUUGAUCCAGAGACAAUUGAGGCUUUGAGGUUUGUAAAAGAUACUAUAUUAAGCUUUGGAUCCAUACUCGAUAUUCCAAUAACAAAGUUAUUUAUACAAUCAGUUAAGUUUGCUCACUCAAGUUACAAAGCUGACCUGGAAGCUAAACACAGGUUGAAAGAGGAAGAUAAGCAUUUAAAAACUAAGGAAACUGAGGAGGCAAAACAACAUGUUUUGAAAAAUGAAAAAGAAGCUGUUCUUGAAUCCAUUCAACAGAUAAAAAAUCUAUCAGUUGCUGAUGAUUUAGUUUUUGAAGGAAAUAGUGAUUUAAAGAAGUGUUUGCUUCAAAAAAACAGCACAAAAAAUGAAUUGCAGUGAGCCCAGUGUAAAAUUAAAACAGGGAUGAAAAGAAGACAGGAGCUUGCUGAUGAACAAGACGUUUUAGAAAAAAGGAGUAAAGAACUGUCAAUUUAGAAUUAUAUUGUUUAUAUUGCAACUCUAACUAUUUUGCUUUUAAACUCUAUUUUAAUUUAGUUGUAUUAUAACUCUAAAAGAAUUAUUAUUUUAUUUAGAGUUUUAUUUUUGAAUAAAACAGUUUUUUCAGAUAAUUAACUUAAAAAAAUCUAUUAACAUUUAAUACUUUGUUUCUAUUACGUCCUUUAAUAUAUAUCACAAAUUGUAAAAAUACUGUAGAAUCCUUUUAAGUCAGACUUUAAAGGGAAAUUGAUAUAUAGUCUGACUUGUAAGUAUCAACAGAUGUAUCAAUAUAACAAAAUUAACAAAAAUGAUUACUUAACAAAAAAAUCUGUGAAAAUGUUUUGUUAUGUCCGAGUUAUCCAGGGUGAGAGUUAACAGGAUUCUAUUGUAUAUUUAACUUUGUUUAGUAUUUUAGAUAUAAGUUAUUACUUGCAGGUUUUACAUGUAAGAGUUGUUGUUGUAAAGUUAAAGAUUUUUUUGUUUAAAUUA